rnacentral:lncRNA from 1 species
UGCUGACUAGAUAAAACUCUCAUUCUCUAAACCUGAAAUUCUAAAAAUUUAUGAAUUUACUAUUAUUGAUGUAAUUCGUAUUGAAUGGUGAUAAAAGUUUUUUUUUUGCAAAUCACAAUGCCUUCCUAAUAGGUCCAAUGGCCAACUCACACUUCUCAUCCUUAGAUGAGUUAAGCGGAGGCCCUAUCCCCAUUAGCUAAUCGAUGUUCUUCAUCCUAGUAUGAGUUUACCAGAGGUCC